rnacentral:rRNA from 1 species
UACAGAGGAGCCAAGCGUUGUCCGGAUUGACUGGGCGUAAAGCGCACGCAGGCGGGGGUGCGCGUGGGGUGUGAAAUCUGGCCGCUUAACGGCCAGGCGCCAUCCCAUACGGCACGCCUGGAGCCUUGCAGAGGUCGGUGGAAUUGCCGGUGUAGUGGUGAAAUGCGUAGAGAUCGGCAGGAACACCCAGGGGGAAACCAGCCGACUGGGCCAAGUGCUGACGCUGAGGUGCGAGAGCGUGGGGAGCGAACCGG